rnacentral:lncRNA from 1 species
AAUUUUUAUUGAUGCUUGCCAUUUUUUGCCUGAGGUUAUUUUUUUUGUCCAAUAUUACAAUUGUACCAAAUUUCAUUUAGCUGCAUUUGCCUUCCUGCUCCCCCUUUUUUCCUAUCUUUUCAUUUUCAGCCAUUCUGUGUCCUGUAGCUCUAAAUGUGAGAGGUUAAUGGAUCUCAAAGAAAUGCUCAGUAUUUACUAUUGAGGUUAUAUUGGGUUUGCCCUAUGAGAGGAAAGAAUGUCUCAGGGUGGAAGAGAACCAGGGAGAGCUACCUAUUUUCUCUCCUCCAGAUGUGUCAACAGGCCACGACUUUGGCCUGGGUGUGUCAUUUGCUGUCCUGUUGCUGCAGUGGAGCAGGAAGAGCAAAGCUUCACACUCAGGGGCUGUAGGAUGCUAUCCAGCCUGAGGAAUUGUUUUUAUCCAGUGAAAAAGCAAGAAUCUCUCUCCAGGCAACAGAAGAUGACAGAAUGUACAAAGUGGAAGGGAACUUACUGACGUUUUAGGGCAGUGGUUGAAGACCAGGAACGAUUUUACCCCAGGGACAUAUGGCACUGCCUGGAGACAUUUUUGAUUCUCACACCUGGGAAGGAGUAGGCUCCUGGCAUCCAGUGGGCAGAGGCCAGAGAUGCUGCUAAACGUCCUGCAAUGCACGGGACAGGCCCCGCAUCAAAGAAUUACGCAGCCCAAAAGCUCAAUAAUGCCAAGGUUGAGAAAACCUCUGAUUUUAUGUAAUCUAAAACAUAGGCUCAAAGAGAUUGCAAUUAGUGUCCAAGGUUGAACAAUUAUUAUGUGACAAAGAGAGGAAGCAAAAAGUGACUCAGUUCCUACAUGGUGAAAAGAGAAAAUUACCAGUGGUUAUAUACGAAUGACAUUGUUUCUACCCUAGAAGCAGAGAAAUGGCCACGGUGAGGCUCCAAAUUGUUCACAUGAACAUUCUGCAUCUCUUCGUUGGGCAAGGGGUCCUGCGGUCCUCAAACUGGGCACAUGCAAGUUUUUCCUGCUGUCCAUCUGUCAGCCAGCCCACCACAUAGGCCCCUGGAGUCCAUCAAGGUGAUCGCUCCUGCUUACGUAUAUGAAAGGGAAGACCGCUUUUCUUCCAUAGUUAAUGAGGACCUAAAAAAGGGUGCAGAUUUUUAAAGUCUCUGCUAGAUAUUGUUUAAUAAUAUCAUCACUCAGGCUUUAAGGAGAUUGAAUUCUAUCUGCAGUCUGCCAGGUCAUCAGCCCUAAAAGUUGAUAGUUUCAUUAAUUUUCUUUAUGUGGAUAUAGACAGGGCUCAAGCCUCACCCCCUCCUUAUCCUCUAUAAGCACAUUUUCCCCAGGCCUGUAGAUACAGGCAAAUACAACUGAGUUGAAGCUAUUCGGGGCCAGGGUAGUAUUUGGAUUUUAAUUUUCUUGGUGUUAAAGUCAAAGGAUUAUAUAUCAUCUCUCAAUUAAAACUAACAAAUUUUAAUCCUGUUGCAUUUGCUCAGGGAUUAUUGGGUCUGUGAAGGUGGAGCAAUUUGUGUGAAUGCGCUACCCUUAGGGACAUGCCAAAUCAAGGGAAUUCAAGGAGAAAAUAAACUGAUAUGAUCAAGGGGAAGCCCCA